rnacentral:lncRNA from 1 species
GAUAUCUUAACAAACAUGACUGCGUUAUCUUAGUUAGUGAAAUUAUAAACCACAUAGUUAUGCGUGGGCUUAAAUAAAAUGCAACCAAUCUUAUUUUGUUUGAAUACUAUUUGUAGUUAUUAGAGCAGUAUAAAUAUAGCAGUUUUCUUGAAGUAAUUACAUUCAAGUAACAAUCAUUCAGCAAUUUUCAUUUCUUGUAAACUACUCAAGUUAACAAGCAACUCAAAGAUACAACACAUGAAACCUUUUAUCACAAUGAUUGCGUCUGUGGUAUUCAUUUUACUAUUUGUAAACUGUUGUUGUUUGCCUGGAAAUUUAAAUGUAAUCGAUUUGGAAGAGGUUUCCGGUUUUUUAAUCAAAGA